AUUGUCCAAUUCCACUAUGAAAUAAAUAGAUAAGAAUGAUCUCAUUCACUAAAUGUGUGACUCUCUCCAUCUAUUCAUCCCAGUAUAUAUAAAGCUCUUCCUGGGACUGAACAUAAAUUCACAACCUAAAUCAUAUGACUAAAAUAUUCUCACGCUAAAACACAGUGCAUGUUUACAUAGUACAGAUAUUAAAAUAUCCCCUAAAAUGAAAAGAGUGGUCAAGUAGAAGUUUCUGGGUUGGAACUUAAAUGCCAAUGUUCAUGUUUAUUUAUAUUUGUACGACAUGUCCUCGUUAUUUUUAGAGGUUUGGGGUCAGCCUAAAUAGGUCUACGAGACCUCUAUGAACUUUCCCUUCCCAAGCCCCACAGCCAUGUUUGUAGCUGGUCCUGCCACCAGUGUACCAGGGACAGCAGAUGGGGUGGCCUUAGUUACAGUUUUGGACCUUAGGAUCGGAUCAAGAAAAUUUUAGGUAACCACCAUGUAAAUGCUUAGUUAUAAAAAAAAUCAAAUGGAUUUGUAUUUAUCAGACUAAACUGAUAAUUAAUUCACCAGUUUGAAUAACAAACAGAUCAAAUAAUUCUAAAUUAUAGAGGAAAGUUCAAGAAAGCAAACUGAAACUAAAAGCAGCAGCUUCCUGCUACGUAAAAUUAUAACUGUUUUGUUUUGAUCUUACGCUCUGCCUUUUCACAGCUGGCUUUCAAGCCAUGUCUAUUUAUAAUUCCCCAUUAUUACUGGCCUUUUACUCACUGCUUGGAUGGACAGCCAAAACACCAGAAAGGCCUCUGGUUAGUUUCUUCUCUGGGUCUUUAAAACAGAUAGUUUAUUUUUGUAGACUCAUCUGCAGUUCUUCUCACAUUAAGCACCAUCACACUUCUGUAGUUUUUUUUUGAACUAUUCAUCAAUUCUCUUUUCCAGAAUUUGGGUGAGCCCCUGCCCACAUUUCUCAGAACUCCGCUUACUUCACUUCCUUCAUUUUACCCUUUUCCCUCCCAAGCUGGGCUCUGCAGGUCUGUCCUAGCUUUUUGCCUUUGUUUCUCAGCUUUGGUUUUCCCUGCCUGACUGCUUUGAGCUGAUCCAACGUCACAGAAGUUCUAGUGGCUACGUGAGUGAUUCUGCUGGGUCCUGUCAAGCUACAGAUGCCUAAUUGGGUGAAAAAUCUUUGCAAAAUGUCUUUUGAAGGUCAGGUUUAUACAUAUUCAAUAAUUCAAGCGAAUUGGCCUUCUUUAUAAUGAGACUUUAUACAUUUAGUUAUUUCAAUCACAAGUGCGUAUAUGAUGCUGUUUACACCCACUUUGAACAGAGACCUCUCUAGUAUCACCAGGUCCUUUAAGAGCAAAUCUAGUAAAUUCAGAAGAUAGGAUGAUUUAUCUCCUGAACUAGUCUAUGAGUCCUGGGAGGGUGGGAGAGAUUUUUGACACUAUUUUGUAACCAAUUAGCACAGUGCCUUGGGCAAGCCAGGCUCUCAAUAAGUACUGGUUGGUUUUUGUUACUGAUACUCUGGAAAUUGUUAGGGGGAAAAGUCACAAUGACAAAUUGAAAUGUAGCACCCUUCUACCUCUUCUGGCAGAAAAGGAAACUGAACCAUUCCUUUCCAAAAUAAAGAAGUAAGCAACCACGUUUUAAUUUUCCUAUGCUCCCUGCAGAGUGUUCCGUUACUGAGAAAAUACCCCCAAGCAGAAAAUACUUACACGUCGCCACGCAUGGCACUUGGGGUAGCUCCACUGUGAAGGUACCCGGGUUUUCGGGCAUGGAUUUGCGCUAGAAAAGCCUUUUCAGAGGUUGGUGACGGGACCAGAUCUUCAAACUGAGUCCGUGCAAGUUCAGAAUCCACGUUACUCUCAGUUUCACUCCCCGCCUCUAUUAGGUACAAUUGAAGAAGUGAAGAAUGACCUAGACUUUUUUAUGAUCGAUCGGCAAAUAAAGGGCUAGGCUUAACAUUAACCAACCUAUGCUGAUUAAAACACUGACCAGUUAUUUUACGUAAGUCAAAUAUGUGUUCGUUUUUUCUCAAAAUGAGAAUUGAUACUGACAUGAAUUACCACAAAAUCAGUUAGUAUACAGUAUUGUCUUUUUAUCUCAAUAAUAUUAUAAGGAAUCUUUGUCUUAAUAACUGACUUAAUUCUUGAAGCCAUCUGUUUUUUCCCUCUAUAAAAGUCUUUAUUGGGCUUCCCUGGUGGCGCAGUGGUUGGGAGUCCGCCUGCCGAUGCAGGGGACACGGGUUCGUGCCCCGGUCCGAGAAGAUCCCACGUGCCGCGGAGCGGCUGGGCCCGUGAGCCAAGACCGCUGAGCCUGCGCGUCCGGAGCCUGUGCUCCACAACGGGAGAGGCCACAACGCUCUCUAACAGAAGUUAUGGGUCCUUCUGCAAUGAGACGACAAAUGGGAGGGGACCAAGGACUCACCGGAAUUCAACUCUUUCACGAGAGAGGACAUGGUGUUAGUGAUCGAAUCCGCUGCUACUAGAAAAAACGCCCUGCAAUAGAUCUUCCUUUUUCCCUCAGAACAGAAAGUACAUCAUGCUCUCCCUUCAAAAUGUAAGCUUUUGGGCUUCCCUGGUGGCGCAGUGGUUGGGAGUCCACCUGCCGAUGCAGGGGACACAGGUUCGUGUCCCGGUCCGGGAGGAUCGCACAUGCCGCGGAGCGGCUGGGCCCGUGAGCCAUGGCCGCUGAGCCUGCGCAUCUGGAACCUGUGCUCCGCAACGGGAGAGGACACAAGAGUGAGA